AUACAACAGAAUCCAUCAGAGAUAUGAAAACAGAGUAGGACUCCUCGGUUCUUCCUGUCAUUUUGUUCCAAUUCUUGGUUGCAAUGGAAAAUCUCUCCCAAGAUGCUGUAUACACCACUGACAACCAGAGGCUAUCACAAGAGUAAUCACAAAGUUCUCUGAAUUUAGAGGAAAUAAUGUUUAAAAAUCCAUCUGGAAAACUAGGAUUGAUGAAACGGAUAAUUUUCAUGAAAAUGUAGGGCACUGACCUCAAACUCUUACUCCUAAGUCUCACUUAUUAAACUGUUACAAAUUCCUCCAGAAAAA